CCGCGCCCACGCGCGACCCGGAGCAGCCGGUGGGGGCGGGGACUGAGGCGUCCCGCUGUGGUCCCCCCAGGCCUCUGGUUCUCCCGGCUGGAGCAGCCGGGCUAUUCCCACGGCCUAGUCCGGAACGCCCCCUCCCCUUCCUGUCAUCUAGCCCAAGCCUGGACUCUGCGCUCCCUUGGCUGUCACUAGAACCCGUUGCGUUCCUGGGCCUCUGACCUUCCAUCACCGUGGAAGCCUGUCCCAGGACUGUGUUUGUCAGCUGCAUGCAGCUGAUGCAUGAGUUCGGGAAAUACAGGCCAAGCCAGGAAAAAGGAGCCAAAGCUCUGGGUAAGAGGCCACCUUGCCCCGGGGCAGGGACUCAGCAGGAGAAGCCAGCCCAGCAACCCAAGCUGUUCCUAGGUGCAGGAACCUCGCCCUGGGAACUGGAAGCUCCUGUUCUGAGUGUAGCCUUACUGCACUGAGUCAGCAGGCAGCCCUGACCUUCAGCAUCAGCCUCAGCUUCAGGACUCUAGUGCUGUGUGGUGGACCAGUGUCCUGGGACUGAAGAGCUGGCUCCGUGCUUAGAGUGCUUGUUGUGGGCUAGGUGGUAGUGGUAUAUAUGUUUAAUCCCAGCAGAGGCAAGCAGGUGUCUGAGUUUGAGGCCAACCAGGAAAGCAGAACUACAAUGAGAAAGCCUGUCAAAACAAAACAAAACAACAACAAAAUAAAGAAAAACCAAACGAAAAAGAAAGAAGAAAGGAAAAAAGAAUACUGUAUUUGCCGGGCUGGAGAGAUGG